GGGGGUGCCCGGUUUUGACAGCAGGCAGAGUUUGAUUGUAAGCACGCCGAGCGCUGUGUGGCGGCUCGUUAAUCCCGAUGCUCAAAAAUUAAUUGGCAAUAAUAGCUACGCACUCGCUGCCUAAUUUUCAAGGAAAAUUGGCUUAAUCCUCUGGCCCAAGGAGGUCGGACGACGAGUAUCCCGAAGGGCUUUUCCGCUCUUUAAGAGCCUUUCAUACGGGGUAUCAUCCAUUUAGAGAUAGCUCAUCGGAGUGUUCCGACCGAUGUGUGAAAUUCAAGGAACUGGGACUUGUGUUCGGUUGCCACCUGCCAGACGCAAGUAGAAGGACGAAACGGUGGCUAAGCGUGUAGAAAGCUUUCGGGUUCCCUGUUUGGACGCGGGUUCGACUCCCGCCACCUCCACAG
rnacentral:tmRNA from 1 species